rnacentral:rRNA from 1 species
AUUGAACGCUGGCGGCAGGCCUAACACAUGCGAGUCGAGCGGAUGAAGGGAGCUUGCUCCUGGAUUCAGCGGCGGACGGGUGAGUAAUGCCUAGGAAUCUGCCUGGUAGUGGGGGAUAACGUCCGGAAACGGGCGCUAAUACCGCAUACGUCCUGAGGGAGAAAGUGGGGGAUCUUCGGACCUCACGCUAUCAGAUGAGCCUAGGUCGGAUUAGCUAGUUGGUGGGGUAAAGGCCUACCAAGGCGACGAUCCGUAACUGGUUUGAGAGGAUGAUCAGUCACACUGGAACUGAGACACGGUCCAGACUCCUACGGGAGGCAGCAGUGGGGAAUAUUGGACAAUGGGCGAAAGCCUGAUCCAGCCAUGCCGCGUGUGUGAAGAAGGUCUUCGGAUUGUAAAGCACUUUAAGUUGGGAGGAAGGGCAGUAAGUUAAUACCUUGCUGUUUUGACGUUACCAACAGAAUAAGCACCGGCUAACUUCGUG